GGAAGAAUAGUUUAAUGGUAAAAUAAUGGUUUCCAAAACCUUUGUUGGGAGUUCAAGUCUCUCUUCUUCUG
rnacentral:tRNA from 1 species